rnacentral:rRNA from 1 species
UACGUAGGUGGCGAGCGUUGUCCGGAAUUAUUGGGCGUAAAGAGCAUGUAGGCGGUUUUUUAAGUCUGGAGUGAAAAUGCGGGGCUCAACCCCGUAUGGCUCUGGAUACUGGAAGACUUGAGUGCAGGAGAGGAAAGGGGAAUUCCCAGUGUAGCGGUGAAAUGCGUAGAUAUUGGGAGGAACACCAGUGGCGGAGGCGCCUUUCUGGACUGUGUCUGACGCUGAGAUGCGAAAGCCAGGGUAGCGAACGGG